UACGAAGGGUGCAAGCGUUAAUCGGAAUUACUGGGCGUAAAGCGUGCGCAGGCGGUUUUGUAAGUUUGUCGUGAAAGCCCCGGGCUCAACCUGGGAAUGGCGAUGAAGACUGCAAGGCUUGAAUCUGGCAGAGGGGGGUAGAAUUCCACGUGUAGCAGUGAAAUGCGUAGAGAUGUGGAGGAACACCGAUGGCGAAGGCAGCCCCCUGGGUCAAGAUUGACGCUCAUGCACGAAAGCGUGGGGAGCAAACAGG
rnacentral:rRNA from 1 species